rnacentral:rRNA from 1 species
CGGGGGGGCAAGCGUUGUUCGGAAUUACUGGGCGUAAAGGGCUCGUAGGCGGCCAACUAAGUCGGACGUGAAAUCCCCAGGCUCAACCUGGGAACUGCGUCCGAUACUGGAUGGCUUGAAUCCGGGAGAGGGAUGCAGAAUUCCAGGUGUAGCGGUGAAAUGCGUAGAUAUCUGGAGGAAUACCGGUGGCGAAGGCGGCAUCCUGGACCGGCAUUGACGCUGAGGAGCGAAAGCCAGGGGAGCAAACGGGAUUAGAUACCCCGGUAGUCCUGGCCCUAAACGAUGAAUGCUUGGUGUAACGGGUAUCGAUCCCUGUUGUGCCGAAGCUAACGCAUUAAGCAUUCCGCCUGGGGGAGUACGGUCGCAAGGCUG